CUCUUACGUCAUUUUUGCCAUUUCCGGCAAGUUUACAGGCAUACCAUGCCUUUACCAGGUCUGAUGUGACCAGAUCGAGCAAUACAUUUAAUGUUUUGCCUUUCUCUCACCAAACACUGUCCAAACAUGUUUGAGGAGCAAAAAAGGAUCUCCAAGUUCAAAUCUCGAUCGGGGUUGCACCAAAAAAAGCACGUGAAACAUCGUGGGCUAUUUGGACUGCUCUUUUGCAUUGAAACCUGUUGGGCCUAAGGCUCAACAUCACUAUCUUUGAUCAAGUCCGUGUAAUAAUGGAAAGGGAAGCUAAUAUGUAUUAAAGGCUCAGCCAUGGGUGAAAAUGGCACUGAUGGGCUUGGGUUGGCCUAUCGAUUAAAAAAAAUUACUUUCUUCUCUCAUCUAUUUCUUAUAAACCUGGCAUGUAUAUAUAUUGUAUAUGUAUCGAAUUUGUAAAUAAUGAAACCCUUGUGCAUGCUAGAACUUAGGAAAAACACAUAGUAUUUUUAGGAAGUCGCCAAACUAUUUUCAAACUCGGAUAAUGAUCAACUUUGCUUGAAAUUGAAUUUAAAAUUGGUA